UGGGGAAUAUUGGACAAUGGGCGCAAGCCUGAUCCAGCCAUGCCGCGUGAGUGAUGAAGGCCCUAGGGUUGUAAAGCUCUUUCACCGGUGAAGAUAAUGACGGUAACCGGAGAAGAAGCCCCGGCUAACUUCGUGCCAGCAGCCGCGGUAAUACGAAGGGGGCUAGCGUUGUUCGGAUUUACUGGGCGUAAAGCGCACGUAGGCGGACUUUUAAGUCAGGGGUGAAAUCCCGGGGCUCAACCCCGGAACUGCCUUUGAUACUGGAAGUCUUGAGUAUGGUAGAGGUGGGUGGAAUUCCGAGUGUAGAGGUGAAAAUCGUAGAUAUUCGGAGGAACACCAGUGGCGAAGGCGGCUCACUGGACCAUUACUGACGCUGGGGUGCGAAAGCGUGGGGAGCAAACAGG
rnacentral:rRNA from 1 species